GACGAACGCUGGCGGCGUGCUUAACACAUGCAAGUCGAACGGAAAGGCCCUGCUUUUGUGGGGUGCUCGAGUGGCGAACGGGUGAGUAACACGUGAGUAACCUGCCCUUGACUUUGGGAUAACUUCAGGAAACUUGGGCUAAUACCGGAUAGGAGCUCCUGCUGCAUGGUGGGGUUUGGAAAGUUUCGGCGGUUGGGGAUGGACUCGCGGCUUAUCAGCUUGUUGGUGGGGUAGUGGCUUACCAAGGCUUUGACGGGUAGCCGGCCUGAGAGGGUGACCGGCCACAUUGGGACUGAGAUACGGCCCAGACUCCUACGGGAGGCAGCAGUGGGGAAUAUUGCACAAUGGGCGGAAGCCUGAUGCAGCAACGCCGCGUGCGGGAUGACGGCCUUCGGGUUGUAAACCGCUUUCGCCUGUGACGAAGCGUGAGUGACGGUAAUGGGUAAAGAAGCACCGGCUAACUACGUG
rnacentral:rRNA from 1 species